GCUCGCUUUGCUGGGACAUAUACUAAAACUGGAAUGAUAUAUUGAAGAUUAGCAUGGCCCCUGUGCAAUGAUGACAUCAAGUUUAUGUAGUGCUCCAUAAGUUUUU